CCCUUAGAUGUUCUGGGCUGCACGCGUGUUACAAUCGGGAGUACAACAAGAUUGCAAAUCCUAGUGGAUGAGUGGUUCUUCGAAAUUUUCUGAAGACUGGGAUAGUUGAUUGAAAUUAUUCAACUCGAACGAGGAAUUCCUUGUAAUUGUAAUUCAUUAUAUUGUAAUGAAUACGUCCCUGCCCUUUGUACACACCGCCCGUCGCUCCUACCGAUUGAACGAUCCGGUGAAUUAUUUGGAGUAGCUCUGGAAGUUGCAGAACUUCCAAUGUCACGAAAUUUUGUAAACCUUAUCGUUUAGAGGAAGGAGAAGUCGUAACA
rnacentral:rRNA from 1 species